rnacentral:rRNA from 1 species
UACGUAGGUGGCAAGCGUUGUCCGGAUUUACUGGGCGUAAAGAGCGCGCAGGCGGUCGUGCAAGUCGCGUGUGAAAGCCCCCGGCUCAACUGGGGAGGGUCACGCGAUACUGCUCGACUCGAAGGCAGGAGAGGAAAGUGGAAUUCCUGGUGUAGCGGUGAAAUGCGCAGAUAUCAGGAAGAACACCCGUGGCGAAGGCGGCUACCUGGACCAGCACUGACACUGAGGCACGAAAGCGUGGGGAGCAAACAGG